rnacentral:rRNA from 1 species
GACGAACGCUGGCGGCGUGCUUAACACAUGCAAGUCGAACGGAAAGGCCCUGCUUGCAGGGUACUCGAGUGGCGAACGGGUGAGUAACACGUGGGUGAUCUGCCCUGCACUUCGGGAUAAGCCUGGGAAACUGGGUCUAAUACCGGAUAGGAGCCAUUUUUAGUGUGAUGGUUGGAAAGUUUUUUCGGUGUAGGAUGAGCUGGCGGCCUAUCAGCUUGUUGGUGGGGUAAUGGCCUACCAAGGCGGCGACGGGUAGCCGGCCUGAGAGGGUGGACGGCCACAUUGGGACUGAGAUACGGCCCAGACUCCUACGGGAGGCAGCAGUGGGGAAGAUUGCACAAUGGGCGCAAGCCUGAUGCAGCGACGCCGCGUGGGGGAUGACGGCCUUCGGGUUGUAAACUCCUUUCGCUAGGGACGAAGCUUUUUGUGACGGUACCUAGAUAAGAAGCACCGGCUAACUACGUG